rnacentral:rRNA from 1 species
GGGUUGUGAGGUUAAGCGACUAAGCGUACACGGUGGAUGCCCUGGCAGUCAGAGGCGAUGAAGGGCGUGCUAAUCUGCGAUAAGCGCCGGUAAGGUGAUAUGAACCGUUAUAACCGGCGAUACCCGAAUGGGGAAACCCAGUGUGAUUCGUCACACUAUCAUUAACUGAAUCCAUAGGUUAAUGAGGCGAACCGGGGGAACUGAAACAUCUAAGUACCCCGAGGAAAAGAAAUCAACCGAGAUUCCCCCAGUAGCGGCGAGCGAACGGGGAGGAGCCCAGAGCCUGAAUCAGCAUGUGUGUUAGUGGAAGCGUCUGGAAAGGCGCGCGAUACAGGGUGACAGCCCCGUACACAAAAGCGCAUGUGCUGUGAGCUCGAUGAGUAGGGCGGGACACGUGGUAUCCUGUCUGAAUAUGGGGGGACCAUCCUCCAAGGCUAAAUACUCCUGACUGACCGAUAGUGAACCAGUACCGUGAGGGAAAGGCGAAAAGAACCCCGGCGAGGGGAGUGAAAAAGAACCUGAAACCGUGUACGUACAAGCAGUGGGAGCNNNNNGUGACUGCGUACCUUUUGUAUAAUGGGUCAGCGACUUAUAUUCUGUAGCAAGGUUAACCGUAUAGGGGAGCCGGAGGGAAACCGAGUCUUAACCGGGCGUUAAGUUGCAGGGUAUAGACCCGAAACCCGGUGAUCUAGCCAUGGGCAGGUUGAAGGUUGGGUAACACUAACUGGAGGACCGAACCGACUAAUGUUGAAAAAUUAGCGGAUGACCUGUGGCUGGGGGUGAAAGGCCAAUCAAACCGGGAGAUAGCUGGUUCUCCCCGAAAGCUAUUUAGGUAGCGCCUCGUGAAUUCAUCUCCGGGGGUAGAGCACUGUUUCGGCUAGGGGGCCAUCCCGGCUUACCAACCCGAUGCAAACUGCGAAUACCGGAGAAUGUUAUCACGGGAGACACACGGCGGGUGCUAACGUCCGUCGUGAAGAGGGAAACAACCCAGACCGCCAGCUAAGGUCCCAAAGUCAUGGUUAAGUGGGAAACGAUGUGGGAAGGCCCAGACAGCCAGGAUGUUGGCUUAGAAGCAGCCAUCAUUUAAAGAAAGCGUAAUAGCUCACUGGUCGAGUCGGCCUGCGCGGAAGAUGUAACGGGGCUAAACCAUGCACCGAAGCUGCGGCAGCGANNNNNNNNNNNNNNNNNNNNNNNNNNNNNNNNNNNNNNNNNNNNNNNNNNNNNNNNNNNNUGCUGGAGGUAUCAGAAGUGCGAAUGCUGACAUAAGUAACGAUAAAGCGGGUGAAAAGCCCGCUCGCCGGAAGACCAAGGGUUCCUGUCCAACGUUAAUCGGGGCAGGGUGAGUCGACCCCUAAGGCGAGGCCGAAAGGCGUAGUCGAUGGGAAACGGGUUAAUAUUCCCGUACUUGGUGUUACUGCGAAGGGGGGACGGAGAAGGCUAUGUUGGCCGGGCGACGGUUGUCCCGGUUUAAGCGUGUAGGUGUGUGUUCCAGGUAAAUCCGGUUCACUUUAACACUGAGGCGUGACGACGAGGCACUACGGUGCUGAAGCAACAAAUGCCCUGCUUCCAGGAAAAGCCUCUAAGCAUCAGGUAACACGAAAUCGUACCCCAAACCGACACAGGUGGUCAGGUAGAGAAUACCAAGGCGCUUGAGAGAACUCGGGUGAAGGAACUAGGCAAAAUGGUGCCGUAACUUCGGGAGAAGGCACGCUGACACGUAGGUGAAGUGAUUUACUCAUGGAGCUGAAGUCAGUCGAAGAUACCAGCUGGCUGCAACUGUUUAUUAAAAACACAGCACUGUGCAAACACGAAAGUGGACGUAUACGGUGUGACGCCUGCCCGGUGCCGGAAGGUUAAUUGAUGGGGUCAGCGCAAGCGAAGCUCCUGAUCGAAGCCCCGGUAAACGGCGGCCGUAACUAUAACGGUCCUAAGGUAGCGAAAUUCCUUGUCGGGUAAGUUCCGACCUGCACGAAUGGCGUAAUGAUGGCCAGGCUGUCUCCACCCGAGACUCAGUGAAAUUGAACUCGCUGUGAAGAUGCAGUGUACCCGCGGCAAGACGGAAAGACCCCGUGAACCUUUACUAUAGCUUGACACUGAACAUUGAGCCUUGAUGUGUAGGAUAGGUGGGAGGCUUUGAAGUGUGGACGCCAGUCUGCAUGGAGCCGACCUUGAAAUACCACCCUUUAAUGUUUGAUGUUCUAACGUGGACCCGUAAUCCGGGUUGCGGACAGUGUCUGGUGGGUAGUUUGACUGGGGCGGUCUCCUCCUAAAGAGUAACGGAGGAGCACGAAGGUUGGCUAAUCCUGGUCGGACAUCAGGAGGUUAGUGCAAUGGCAUAAGCCAGCUUGACUGCGAGCGUGACGGCGCGAGCAGGUGCGAAAGCAGGUCAUAGUGAUCCGGUGGUUCUGAAUGGAAGGGCCAUCGCUCAACGGAUAAAAGGUACUCCGGGGAUAACAGGCUGAUACCGCCCAAGAGUUCAUAUCGACGGCGGUGUUUGGCACCUCGAUGUCGGCUCAUCACAUCCUGGGGCUGAAGUAGGUCCCAAGGGUAUGGCUGUUCGCCAUUUAAAGUGGUACGCGAGCUGGGUUUAGAACGUCGUGAGACAGUUCGGUCCCUAUCUGCCGUGGGCGCUGGAGAACUGAGGGGGGCUGCUCCUAGUACGAGAGGACCGGAGUGGACGCAUCACUGGUGUUCGGGUUGUCAUGCCAAUGGCACUGCCCGGUAGCUAAAUGCGGAAGAGAUAAGUGCUGAAAGCAUCUAAGCACGAAACUUGCCCCGAGAUGAGUUCUCCCUGAGACUUAGAGUCUCCUGAAGGAACGUUGAAGACGACGACGUUGAUAGGCCGGGUGUGUAAGCGCAGCGAUGCGUUGAGCUAACCGGUACUAAUGAACCGUGAGGCUUAACCUUACAACGCCGAAG